rnacentral:rRNA from 1 species
CUUUGGUGGCGACCGGCGCACGGGUGCGUAACGCGUAUGCAACCUAACCUUUAACAAGGGGAUAACACUGAGAAAUUGGUACUAAUUCCCCAUAACAUUCGAGAAGGCAUCUUCUUGGGUUAAAAACUCCGGUGGUUAAAGAUGGGCAUGCGUUGUAUUAGCUAGUUGGUGAGGUAACGGCUCACCAAGGCAACGAUACAUAGGGGGACUGAGAGGUUAACCCCCCACAUUGGUACUGAGACACGGACCAA